CGGAUAGUAGUAUGUUAAUAAUACAUUUAUUUAGCAAAUAAAAGAUAAACAAAGUUUCUAUCUGA
rnacentral:tRNA from 1 species